rnacentral:lncRNA from 1 species
GACUAAGGGCAAGCGAGAUAAAGAAAGCAGCUGGCCCUAUGUGUAAAACCUUGCCGCGGGAGAGUCUUUCUCCAAUGAGAAUAAAGAAAGUUUUUGGGCAAGACAAGAAAGGAACUCGCCCUUUGACACCAAGGGAUAAGAGCUGAUUGCUGGCGAUGACUUGGUGAAGGGAAUCUAUGAGAGAAGGUUCUCGAACCGGGUUACGACCAACGCGGAACCAACGAGUUCAGUCGAACAAGGUAACGAGUCUAAGGGAAGGAUCAAGCUUGAAAGGAAUGGACGGGCGUAGGCUUAAUAGUGAACGCAGACCCCCCUGCUUAUAGAUAUGAGAUCAAUGACUUAAAUAAAAGAAAGAUGUCGAGAGAAAGUCUUAGCCCUUAAAAUGCGUUGCGAAGAGAGAUCGAAGACGAAGAUUUUCUGACGCAGUGCGGGCACUGGAUGGAAAAGACAGAUAAAGGAACAACCCACCGGAAGGGCAUACCUCAAGGGGCACCAAUCUCCCCCGGCAAAGAUCUAUCUGCGCGAAGCCGACCUAUGGAUAGAAAGAAAGAUGCAGGAAAGGAAAAUGAAAGAAGAAAUCCAAAUUUGCUUUGGGAGUGUGAGAUAGGCAGACGGGGAGUACGCAGCCGAACAACCGCUGGGGUUUCCAGCAGUGAUAGCUGAACUAAUCAGAUGGGCCGCCCCAAACCUGGAGCUGACAUUUAAAUCGGGAAUCAACAUCGGGUCCCGGCUAUCCGAAAAACGCAGACUGAAGCGGAAGAUCACAAAAUGCAACACAACAAGGGGGUCGUUAGACCGUAGCUUGCGCGAAGGAAGAAGCUAAUCAAUCAGAAUUGAGACAGGGAGGAGAGGCGAAAGAGAGAUUUUCGAGCCUGCAAGCAGCAAGCAACAACGGCUUUUCCGCCGUUGCGCGCUAGCUUGUAGUUUAGGGGUAUAGUAGGGGUGCCCCUUUCUCAAACUUUUCUAUAAUAUAAGGUAAGCUUUUUGGAACCCUAGUUUUGGAGUUUUCCCCAACCAACCUAUACCUUACUAAUAAAAAGGGGCUUCCCUUUUUCAGCUGCAUUGCACUGCCGCAUAAACAAUGGAUCCGCUGGGCUGGAUGAGCAACCUUCUAUCUGGCCUCUGUACCAAUAGUAGAGUGGCUUGCUACUUUCAAUCAGAAAAGGAAGAUUGAGCAAGGCAAAGGAGAAAGGAGUUGUCCCCCCUUCUCUGGUAACCCGCCGCCGCAUAUGUAGAAAAAGAAGGAGCGGAGAAGGAAGAACAACCGUUUUACUUUGGCACAUGAGGUGGCGGGUUUGGCUAGGUAACAUAAUGGAAAUGUAUCGGACUGCAAAUCCUGGAAUGACGGUUCGACCCCGUCCUUGGCCUCGAGGAGUGGUGAGCAGCACGGAACUUGUUUCAAUCAAAUGGCAUAGUAUUAGGGUAGGAGGCUUUCCUUUGUUAUAGAAAUCCACAGACAAGAUUCUGGAACUUCCAAACCAAAGAAAUGCAAGAUGAGAAGGAGCUUUUUACGUUACGCUUCAAUAGAAUGAAUUCGGUAAGGGUAGAAUAGGCCCUAUGGUCGAUCGAAGGUGCUGUGCCACUUGAACUCAAAUCUAUCUGACCUUCAAUCCAUCUUUGUCCAGCCAGCUCAUAACAAAAUGUUAGACCAAGGCUGACACAACCGAAUUGGUUGAGGAAAAGGAACCCCCAGCGACCAAGCACUCCCGCCCCCAAAAGCGGAGACCGAAGAACCGCCAGGUUGUCGAGGACACGUCUGAAGAGGAGGCGGGCGCCCUCUAAGUUGACCACCCUACCCACUAAUGGACUAUGAGGGGGGGGAAGGCGAACGGGAACCGACCGAAAACCCGAACCGCUUGACUGACCCCUUCAUAGUCCAUUCAUUAAGGUUGGGGAUGGCUGGAACCAAUCAGAAGUGCAAAUCGCGCAAGCGAAGCCGGGAAACGGACCGCAGCGCAACGACUAGGACUCGUGUCGGAGGAGUUUUGAGCGUGAGCUAACACUCAUGCAGCGGCAAGGACCCGCAACUCUCGAAGGGGCCACCAACCGCCCGAAUCACUGUAGCAAACCCUCUCUUUACUCAAUGGAUAGCGCUUAUUCUCUUUCAAUCAACAAAAUGAGAAAUGGGGGAGAAAUCAAAAAAAGAGGUCUUUAUUGAAGAGGCUUUGCACCUGAAAUAGGACUAAUGCAGAUCCAGAAGAAUGGUCUGGGCUUUCGAAAAGAUGAAGAUGCAAGGGGUAAAGAGACAGUCUUUUGAACAACCAAGCUGACAUAAGGAUUCUAGCUCGCGCCCACUUAGAGCAGAUGGAGAUUCUCGGACGGGGAAAAGCGGCACUCGACAUCUAUUAAACAAGACCAAGAACAAAGCCAUACCAUGCCCUCGGGAGAAAGUAGUGAUGAUUGCCAUGAAUGCUGCCCUCGAGGACGUGUACAAGAAGGUCUUUGCCGAUUCCUAUCAACAUGGUGCAUCUCUUAGUAGAGGGGCGUGAAAAGUGGAGACUUUGACCGUAGGGAUCAAUUGAUAGACAUUUUUCUUGAGGAAGAGAAUCCAGGAUGAACGCUUUUUUCAUUCGCUAUGCGCUGACUGGAUGCGUACUCGCGUGAUCAAUCGAUGGACGGGGGAAUUGCGUGAAUGAUGAGACCGGCCUAACCUAAAGUCAAGGCUCUUCCCUCUCUUGAUGGCGAAUCUUGAUUGACUGACACUAGGAACCGAUUCGGAGAAAGAAGAAGCAUGGCAUGAGAUAGGCGGCGGAGAAAUUUCCGAUAGCGAAUUACUUGACUCGAUGGAUGGAGGGAGAGCCCUCCAACUCAAGCACGAAAUCAAUGUUGAGUCAACAAUCAUCGAGAGGGGUACCACCAAGCGAGAUCGAGACCAGCCCCUUGUAUAGGUAUAGGGUUCCAAACCUGCGCUUCUUCAAAUAUCCCAUAAAUCUAAAUAAAGUAGGGACUUCAAAGCUUGACUAAGAAGGGAGAAAGUUGACUUUGAGAAAGAAAAGGGGCGCCCUAGCUGCAAUCAAAAAACAGCGCUAACGAGCAAGAAAGGGCCCCUUACUAUAGAUAGGGCCUUAGCGCUUUACUAAUAACAAACAUAUAUAGGGCUUACUUUUUUCAGCUUGAUCGGAAUCGAUUCUAUGAUUGAAUAGCAGAAGUGCUACUUAGUAGUAGAAACUCGGAGAGACAGACAGAGAGGGGACUCUUUCAUACCUGCUAACUCCUAGGAUGAGAAGUAGGUCCCUUGUUUUUGGCAGGAAGAGUUCCAGCCUUUGUUGCCCCUCGGUAGAGUGAGUCUACUUAGCGAACUGGCAGGACGCGGAGAUCUAUUGAUCAAUAUGAAUCUCGAGAGUGGAUGGUUGAUCGCCGCCUCCUUGUCCUGGGGGCUCUCCGGCCAGGGAGGGGCUUGCUAGCGUAACCCUUUCUCCCGGUGUAUGUGAAAAAGAGUGACGAACUCAUUUUUCUUCGGUCAUAGGUUGGUCCAAAGAACGAGAGUCGGCUUCCAACAUUAAGUCCGUUGUUCCUCAGUAGCUCAGUGGUAGAGCGGUCGGCUGUUAACCGAUUGGUCGUAGGUUCGAAUCCUACUUGGGGAGAUUUUUUAGUUAUCGCCUUUCUGACCUAGCGCUUGCCUCCGGUGGUGUCCUUCUCCUUUCUUUCUAAACUAGCAGAAUCGUGGGACAUCAAAAGCGGUAAGUUGAUUGUUGGUUUUUAUUCCUCACUCUCGUAUAGGUUAACUUGGUUCGUUCCAUUCUUAGGGAAGGAUCCACUGGAAAGACUGGAGUAGUAUCUUCAUUAGCCGGAAGGAAUUAGUCUCCACUAGCGUCAUUCGAAGAACGAACAAGAAAGGGGUUACUGUUUAGGAUAGAUGGAUGUGGCCCAAUGGCUAAAGCUCUGCCAGCUUCUUGUAGACUGAACUCUCUUCUCUUUAGGCUCCGAGUUCUUUUUGGGGGGGAUGGUCUAAUUUACUAGUGGCAACGAAGUUCUUAAAUGACUAGAUUCUCCCGGAACGCUAGCUAAGCUAAUCGUCUUAGUUCCCUUCAAUUAAAUCAAUAAGCUUUUUGAUUGAUUCAGGGCGCCGCCCCCCUUCUUAGAAUUAGAACCCAUUGAGGGGGGCCUCGGCCCGGGAAGGGGAGAGUGGCCGAGUGGUCAAAAGCGGCAGACUGUAAAUCUGUUGAAGUUUUUCUACGUAGGUUCGAAUCCUGCCUCUCCCACUUGUUUGUUGUAGACUUCAGAGAAGAGAAAAGAGGCAUUCGUCAGCGUAGGAAGGCCAACCGAGCGAAGCUCUUUCUUUUUUUUGGCCGUGCCGUGAAGUGAAAUUGUAUCGUAUGUUAGUUAGAGAGGUUGGCGAACUACUACGAUCUAUAGAUUUCCCAUCUAUAUCCAAUCCCAACGAGAAUAGGAGCGAGUCGCUUCCGGCCUGUCUUGUAGUCGUAGUCUUUUAGCUUAUGUAGUCGUCGGCCUUCCUACACGCAUGCGUCCGCCAGAAUGCCUCCUUGGUUCGGGACGAAGCCAAGCCGAUACAUACGAUAGGCGAAGGAAAGACCCCCAUUUCAUAGCGCCUGGGGAACGCAAGUUUGAUCGAGGAUUGGAGAGGAGAGGUGGAAGAAAGGGCUCGGGAUGGAUUUUGGAGUCUUUGUGCGAGCCGUAUGCGGUGAGAGUCGCACGUACGGUAACGAGGGGGGUUCGCGUCUAUACGUGUAGUGUGGUGCUUAGGCCUACCCACCCUAUUUGUUCCAUGAUCUAUGGGUCUACUGGAGCUACCCACUUCGAUCAAUUAGCCAAGAUUUUGACCGGAUACGAAAUCACUGGUGCUCGAUCUAGUGGUAUUUUUAUGGGGAUUCUAUUUAUCGCUGUAGGAUCCCUAUUCAAGAUCACUGCAGUUCCUUUUCGGGCGGCUGUAGGACGGCCGCCUAUAGGUGGUAGGGUAGGGUGGGUGGUACCGCUCUGCGGCCAAUCUUCCUAACCGCGCGCGGGCCGGGCUUAGAGCGCGUGAAACUCAUCACUACCUCGUAAGGGCGUUGAGACCAUAGCAUGUUACACGAAAGCGCCGCUUUCUCUGUAGUGUUGUCACACAGCUGCCCGCCUAGAAGAGCAACUCGCUCUGUAGUGUUGUCACACAAGAUAAGCACGCCGCCCGCCUGCUGGCCGGGCGAAUCGAAGUUAUCUUCCGGUCAACUGUCCACCCAGUCAAGUGCAAAAAACACAGUAGAAUCACGCAACGCACGCUGCUGGUGUGCUUCCUGCUCGCGAGGAAAGAAAGAAGAGCGACAGGGUUCAGUUCAGAUUUGACUGUUUGCAGCAUGGGAGCAGAUUCCCCAAAAAAUCCCUGGGAACAAUGAAAAAAAAAGAUAUCUCGGUAACGAAAACUAUAGGGGGCUGUAUUGGCGAGAUCCAACGGUGAACAGCUGCCCAAAAGAAAAACCGCCUGGAAGUCCGAGGACCUUUAGUACUGUACUCUACCCCCGAACCAGCAGCCUUCGCGCCAAGCAAGACCGCCCUUGUCCCUUUCCUUUCUCCAUUCCGCCUCCUUCUUUGCUUUGUUCCAAUAGAGUCUAAGGCAAAGUGGUUCGUAUGCCUACUUUACCUACUUGACGAAAGGGAACGAACAACGUUUCAUUUCCGGGUUUAUGGAUUGGAUUCCGUCAGCCUCACGACAUAAUCAGAGUGAGGCUUUGGUUACCGGCAAACGCUUCUCCAAAGGCGACCCUCUCGAGUUUCCGGCUGUUUCCGUCAUUGAAGUAGCCUUUCGUCGCCCUACCAAACGAAAGAAGUCACUAUCAAACUGCUCGCCCUAUUGAAGUACCAAAGGUGCGCUCAGCCCGGUGACUAGGAAAUGGGUUUGCCCUUGAAUUGAAGUGAUGAGGUCGGAAAGAGGGAAGUAGGGCUCCUAUUGACUAAAGGUUGGUUCUUCGCUUUCCUUUAGAAUGAAAGUUGCUAUGAAGCCCCUCUCCUUACAGUCAAGUGGCUGAACGCCCCUACUACUUACUUUGUUUGAUUCAAAAGGCGAACAGCCCCCCCAACUAGUUGUAUGGGGUGGGGUGCUUGUGAAAAGCUGCUUUGGAUAUGAGUAAUUCCUAAAAAAAGGCAAAGUCCGGUAUUUGACGAAGAUCUUUCUAUCAAUAGAUAGGAAUGAGUGUUCGAUAUAGGGGAUAGGAUCCAUCUGCUCUUUAUCUCACAAUUUUUUUGUGAGAAAUAUAUAUAUAUCGUUUAUCUAUCUCUUGUCUAUCUAUCCUUGAUUCUCAAGUCCAAUUUUUUGGUUCCCCGAAGCCCCGAAUGGAAUGGAUCGUUUCUGCCAACGAAAUGAACGCGGAGCCCGUUCCGAAUGCUUCUACGAUCCGGAAGUUCUCGCGAAGAGAAUAAGAUGCUGCUCCCCUUCCCUCUUUCUUUUCCCGCUUUGCUAAUCUUCCCCUCUAACGCGGGCCGGGCGGCGACGGGCGCGGGAGGAAGAAACCUAAGAGAAGACGCUCGUCUCUUAGGUCCUUUUUUUCGGUGCAACACAGGAAAGCGCCCUCUUUUUGUCAUCCCUGCAGCUUUCCAGAUUUUGUAUUGAACGCAUGGCGUAGCUAGGACCCUUCAAAUUCUGUUUGAGCCUAUGUUCAAGCCAAACCCACCCCCUAUUUUACUAAGGCUGGAAAGAAUGCCCACCAAGUUCAGAUAAGGGAAUGCUUUCCCCAACCAUUAAAGUAAAGGCUCGACGAAGGGAGGGAGGUGCGGCGGGGGAAGGAAAACGCUUUCGGAGAUCGAGAUUUUUUUUUCAUCGAAAACGAAGAAGGCCGAGGAUGGCCUACGGUGCGUCUUAUCUGAAGGGAACACGCUUUUUUGACCGCCGUGGUAUGAUUGCCGGGCCCUCUCCUUACAGUCAAGUGGCUGAACGCCCCUCUCCUCGUUCCGCCCUUCCUAUUGGGAUAGCAGCCUUCGGGCUUUGCCUGCCCUUUCUAAUAAAAAAUUCCGGCUCGGCCCGGGAAAGCGCUGGCAACAACUGAAAGGAAGGGGUCCAUGUAGCUGCUGUGUCCGCCCCCUUCUUAGUCAAUGGGGCACAGCAGGUUCGGCAUCUACUACAAAAGAGAGAAUCCACUUCAGAUAACCACGUCUCUGCUAGGCAGCGUGUGGAAUGGCCGAGAGCGGACCUUUUUGGAUAUAUAAUCCAAGUCGAGAGUAGAGUUACAGGAAAAGCCGUCUGAUGGAAAACUACUUUCACGUUCGGUUCAGAGAGCACUUUUUUCGUUGAGAAUUCCUCGUUCCCUUUCGUGUGAAUUCCCCAGCGGCGAAUUUCAAACUUGUGGGGCCCUAUCUAUUCCAUCUCUCGAGCCCCGAAGAAAACCCCCUACCCUUCGGACUCCAUAUAUCUUUUGACUCUAUAUAUGUGGGCACCUGAUAUCUAUGAGGGUUCACCCACCCCGGUUACAGCAUUCCUUUCUAUUGCGCCUAAAAUCUCUAUUUCUGCUAAUAUUUCACGUGUUUCUAUUUAUGGUUCUUAUGGAGCUACAUUGCAACAAAUCUUCUUUUUCU